GACGAACGCUGGCGGCGUGCUUAACACAUGCAAGUCGAACGAAGUGGCGAACGGGUGAGUAACGCGUAAUCAACCUGCCCUUCGGGGGGGGACAACAGUUGGAAACGACUGCUAAUACCGAAUACGGAUGAAGGAGUUUGCGUGUGAUUAGCUCGUUGGGGGGGUAACGGCCAACCCAGGCGAUGAGCAGUAGCCUGUCCUAGAGGGUGAACGGCCACAUUGGGACUGAGACACGGCCCCGAAUCCUACGGGAGGCAGCAGUGGGGAAAUUUUCGCAAUGGACGAAAGUCUGACGGAGCAACGCCGCGUGAGUGAUGACGGCCUUCGGGUUGUAAAGCUCUGUUAAUCGGGACGCGGUACCGGAAUAGAAAGCCACGGCUAACUACGUGCCAGCAGCCGCGGUAAUAC
rnacentral:rRNA from 1 species